UUAUUUAUUAUUAUUUUUAUUUAUUUUUUAUUUAUUUUUUUUAUUUUUUUUCGUUUUUUUUUUAAAAUAAAGUUUCUUGGAUCUAAUUCUGAUUGACUUGAUGAAAUGCAAUAUGAAAUGCUAAAUGAAUGCAUGAAUGAGGAGGGCAAAUUUUGGGGUGUUACACCGAGGAUUGCCAAAAAGCUUUUGACAGUAUUAAAGAGUAUUUGUCUGAGCCUCUAGUUCUCUCUCCGCCUAUUGAAGAGACACCAUUG
rnacentral:lncRNA from 1 species